rnacentral:rRNA from 1 species
UUUUUUUUUUUUUUUUUUUUUUUUUUCUGUUUUUUUGUCUCUAUGAGCUGCGCAUGCUUACACAUGCAAGUCGAACGGCAGCACGGGUGCUUGCACCUGGUGGCGAGUGGCGAACGGGUGAGUAAUACAUCGGAACAUGUCCUGUAGUGGGGGAUAGCCCGGCGAAAGCCGGAUUAAUACCGCAUACGAUCUACGGAUGAAAGCGGGGGACCUUCGGGCCUCGCGCUAUAGGGUUGGCCGAUGGCUGAUUAGCUAGUUGGUGGGGUAAAGGCCUACCAAGGCGACGAUCAGUAGCUGGUCUGAGAGGACGACCAGCCACACUGGGACUGAGACACGGCCCAGACUCCUACGGGAGGCAGCAGUGGGGAAUUUUGGACAAUGGGCGAAAGCCUGAUCCAGCAAUGCCGCGUGUGUGAAGAAGGCCUUCGGGUUGUAAAGCACUUUUGUCCGGAAAGAAAUCCUUGGCUCUAAUACAGUCGGGGGAUGACGGUACCGGAAGAAUAAGCACCGGCUAACUACGUGCCAGCAGCCGCGGUAAUACGUAGGGUGCGAGCGUUAAUCGGAAUUACUGGGCGUAAAGCGUGCGCAGGCGGUUUGCUAAGACCGAUGUGAAAUCCCCGGGCUCAACCUGGGAACUGCAUUGGUGACUGGCAGGCUAGAGUAUGGCAGAGGGGGGUAGAAUUCCACGUGUAGCAGUGAAAUGCGUAGAGAUGUGGAGGAAUACCGAUGGCGAAGGCAGCCCCCUGGGCCAAUACUGACGCUCAUGCACGAAAGCGUGGGGAGCAAACAGGAUUAGAUACCCUGGUAGUCCACGCCCUAAACGAUGUCAACUAGUUGUUGGGGAUUCAUUUCCUUAGUAACGUAGCUAACGCGUGAAGUUGACCGCCUGGGGAGUACGGUCGCAAGAUUAAAACUCAAAGGAAUUGACGGGGACCCGCACAAGCGGUGGAUGAUGUGGAUUAAUUCGAUGCAACGCGAAAAACCUUACCUACCCUUGACAUGGUCGGAAUCCCGCUGAGAGGUGGGAGUGCUCGAAAGAGAACCGGCGCACAGGUGCUGCAUGGCUGUCGUCAGCUCGUGUCGUGAGAUGUUGGGUUAAGUCCCGCAACGAGCGCAACCCUUGUCCUUAGUUGCUACGCAAGAGCACUCUAAGGAGACUGCCGGUGACAAACCGGAGGAAGGUGGGGAUGACGUCAAGUCCUCAUGGCCCUUAUGGGUAGGGCUUCACACGUCAUACAAUGGUCGGAACAGAGGGUUGCCAACCCGCGAGGGGGAGCUAAUCCCAGAAAACCGAUCGUAGUCCGGAUUGCACUCUGCAACUCGAGUGCAUGAAGCUGGAAUCGCUAGUAAUCGCGGAUCAGCAUGCGCGGGGGGAGAAACCUUCCCCGGGUUCUUGUACACACCGCCCGUCACACCAUGGGAAGUGGGUUUUACCAGAAGUGGCUAGUCUAACCGCAAGGAGGACGGUCACCACGGUAGGAUUCUGACUGGGUGAGCAAAAA